GGUCCUAAAUGCAUAGUAGUCUGCUCAAUCCCAGGAGGUGUGCAUAACUUUUGGGAGCCAAAUAGCUGUGAAAUUUUUCUCUUCUU